rnacentral:rRNA from 1 species
UACGUAGGCAGCGAGCGUUGUUCGGAAUUACUGGGCGUAAAGGGCUCGUAGGCGGCCAACUAAGUCAGACGUGAAAUCCCCCGGCUUAACCAGGGAACUGCGUCUGAUACUGGAUGGCUUGAGUUUGGGAGAGGGAUGCGGAAUUCCAGGUGUAGCGGUGAAAUGCGUAGAUAUCUGGAGGAACACCGGUGGCGAAGGCGACAUCCUGGACCAACACUGACGCUGAGGCGCGAAAGCGUGGGGAGCGAACAGG